AAGACUAUUCUUUCAGUGAUCGUUUCUAUAGUUCGUUACUAGAGAAGUUUCUCUGACCAUGUAGAGCACCCAAAACCAUGAAGAGGAGCCACAGCAUCCUCUCCUGAGCGUGGAGCCAGUUCUAGGAGUUGCUUCUGCCUUUUACCAUUGACGAUGGUUCUUCUCUUCCCUUGAAAGAGGGAGAGGGAGAGGAUGCAGGCUAAGUGGU